AUUGAACGCUGGCGGCAUGCCUUACACAUGCAAGUCGAACGGCAGCACGGGAGCAAUCCUGGUGGCGAGUGGCGAACGGGUGAGUAAUAUAUCGGAACGUGCCCAGUCGUGGGGGAUAACGUAGCGAAAGCUACGCUAAUACCGCAUACGAUCUAUGGAUGAAAGCGGGGGAUCGCAAGACCUCGCGCGAUUGGAGCGGCCGAUAUCAGAUUAGGUAGUUGGUGAGGUAAAGGCUCACCAAGCCGACGAUCUGUAGCUGGUCUGAGAGGACGACCAGCCACACUGGGACUGAGACACGGCCCAGACUCCUACGGGAGGGCAGCAGUGGGGGAAUUUUUGGGACAAUGGGCGCAAGCCUGAUCCAGCAAUGCCGCGUGCAGGAUGAAGGCCUUCGGGUUGUUAAC
rnacentral:rRNA from 1 species